rnacentral:rRNA from 1 species
CUCAGGAUGAACGCUAGCUACAGGCUUAACACAUGCAAGUCGAGGGGCAGCAUGAACUUAGCUUGCUAAGUUUGAUGGCGACCGGCGCACGGGUGACGUAACACGUAUCCAACCUGCCGAUGACUCGGGGAUAGCCUUUCGAAAGAAAGAUUAAUACCCGAUGGCAUAGUUCUUCCGCAUGGUAGAACUAUUAAAGAAUUUCGGUCAUCGAUGGGGAUGCGUUCCAUUAGGUUGUUGGCGGGGUAACGGCCCACCAAGCCUUCGAUGGAUAGGGGUUCUGAGAGGAAGGUCCCCCACAUUGGAACUGAGACACGGUCCAAACUCCUACGGGAGGCAGCAGUGAGGAAUAUUGGUCAAUGGACGAGAGUCUGAACCAGCCAAGUAGCGUGAAGGAUGUCUGCCCUAUGGGUUGUAAACUUCUUUUAUACGGGAAUAAAGUGAGGCACGUGUGCCUUUUUGUAUGUACCGUAUGAAUAAGGAUCGGCUAACUCCGUG